GACGAACGCUGGCGGCGUGCUUAACACAUGCCAGUCGAACGGAAAGGCCUUUUCGGAGGUACUCGAGUGGCGAACGGGUGAGUAACACGUGGGUGAUCUGCCCUGCACUCUGGGAUAAGCCUGGGAAACUGGGUCUAAUACCGGAUAGGACCGCACUUUAGUGUGUGUGGUGGAAAGUUGUUUCGGUGUAGGAUGAGCCCGCGGCCUAUCAGCUUGUUGGUGGGGUAAUGGCCUACCAAGGCGGCGACGGGUAGCCGGACUGGGAGGUUGGUCGGCCACAUUGGGACUGAGAUACGGCCCAGACGCCUACGGGAGGCAGCAGUGGGGAAUAUUGCACAAUGGGCGCAAGCCUGAUGCAGCGACGCCGCGUGGGGGAUGACGGCCUUCGGGUCGUAAACUCCGUUCGCCAGGGACGAAGCGUUUUGUGACGGUACCUGGAGAAGAAGCACCGGCUAACUACGUG
rnacentral:rRNA from 1 species